rnacentral:lncRNA from 1 species
UAGUUGAGCAAAUGUGAGAAGGUCAAAAUUGAAAACACUCUUAAUUUCCUUCCUCUCACUCCUUUUUGUUCCACUCAAUUGUUUGAAGAAUAAAAUCAAUAAUCUCAAAAGCUUAGCUCUUAAUUUGAAAACUUCAUUUUUAUGACUUCAAAGAUAUCUAUAAUUAAUGUUCUAGCUGUUGAAAGCUUGAAAUAAUUAUUGCAAACAAAAUAUGAUUAUUUAAAAUAAUAUAAAAAACUAACAAUUAUUCUGACAAAAAUCUAUGAGUCGGCUCAUCCAAGCUCUUAGUC